rnacentral:rRNA from 1 species
ACUCAAAGGAAUAGACGGGGGCCCGCACAAGCGGUGGAGCAUGUGGUUCAAUUCGACGCAACGCGAAGAACCUUACCCAGGCUUGAACAGCGAGUGACCACUCCCGAAAGGGAGCUUCCGCAAGGACACUCGUAGAGGUGCUGCAUGGCUGUCGUCAGCUCGUGUCGUGAGAUGUUGGGUUAAGUCCCGCAACGAGCGCAACCCUUGUCUGCUGUUGCCAUCACGUUAUGGUGGGCACUCUGCAGAGACUGCCGGUGAUAAACCGGAGGAAGGUGGGGAUGACGUCAAGUCAGCAUGGCCUUUAUGUCUGGGGCUACACACGUGCUACAAUGGCCGGUACAAACCGUUGCAAAAGCGCAAGCUGGAGCUAAUCGGAGAAAGCCGGUCUCAGUUCGGAUCGUAGGCUGCAACUCGCCUGCGUGAAGUUGGAAUCGCUAGUAAUCGCGGAUCAGCACGCCGCGGUGAAUACGUUCCCGGGCCUUGCACACACCGCCCGU